rnacentral:rRNA from 1 species
GACGAACGCUGGCGGCGUGCUUAACACAUGCAAGUCGAACGGAAAGGCCCUGCUUUUGUGGGGUGCUCGAGUGGCGAACGGGUGAGUAACACGUGAGUAACCUGCCCUCGACUUUGGGAUAACUUCAGGAAACUGGGGCUAAUACCGGAUAGUAGCUCCUGCUGCAUGGGGGGGGUUGGAAAGUUGCGGCGGUUGGGGAUGGACGCGCGGCUGACCAGCUUGUUGGUGGGGUGGUGGUUUACCAAGGCUUUGACGGGUAGUCGGCCUGGGAGGGUGAGCGGCCACAUUGGGACAGAGUUGCGGCCGAGGCUGCUGCGGGGAGCAGCGGUGGAGAAUAGUACGCAAGGUGCGGAGGCGUGACGCAGGGACGGGGCGUGUGGGAGGAGGCCUUCGGGUUGUAUAACGCUUUCGCCUGUAACGUAGCGUGAGUGACGGUAAUGGGUAAAGAAGCACCGGCUAACUACGUG